rnacentral:misc_RNA from 1 species
UAUCCGUAGGUGAACCUGCGGAAGGAUCAUUAUUGUAUAACCGAGGUGCGAGGGCUGUCGCUGACCCGAAAGGUCGUGCACGCCCGAGUGCCCUCACACACAUCCAUCUCACCCCUAUGUGCACCACCGCGUGGGUCCCCCUUUGGCUUGUUCGGAGGGGGGCUUACGUUUUCACACAAACUUUGUAUGCAGUGUAGAAUGUAUUUUUUGUUUUUGCGAUCACGCAAUCAAUACAACUUUCAACAACGGAUCUCUUGGCUCUCGCAUCGAUGAGAACGCAGC